rnacentral:rRNA from 1 species
UACGGAGGGAGCUAGCGUUGUUCGGAAUUACUGGGCGUAAAGCGCACGUAGGCGGCGAUUCAAGUCAGAGGUGAAAGCCCGGGGCUCAACCCCGGAACUGCCUUUGAAACUAGAUUGCUAGAAUCCUGGAGAGGUGAGUGGAAUUCCGAGUGUAGAGGUGAAAUUCGUAGAUAUUCGGAAGAACACCAGUGGCGAAGGCGACUCACUGGACAGGUAUUGACGCUGAGGUGCGAAAAGCGUGGGGAGCAAACAGG